rnacentral:rRNA from 1 species
UCCGUAGGUGAACCUGCGGAAGGAUCAUUACCGAGUGAGGGCCCUCUGGGUCCAACCUCCCACCCGUGUUUAUUUUUCCUUGUUGCUUCGGCGGGCCCGCCUUAACUGGCCGCCGGGGGGCUCACGCUCCCGGGCCCGCGCCCGCCGAAGACACCCUCGAACUCUGUCUGAAGAUUGUAGUCUGAGUGAAAAUAUAAAUUAUUUAAAACUUUCAACAACGGAUCUCUUGGUUCCGGCAUCGAUGAAGAACGCAGCGAAAUGCGAUACGUAAUGUGAAUUGCAAAUUCAGUGAAUCAUCGAGUCUUUGAACGCACAUUGCGCCCCCUGGUAUUCCGGGGGGCAUGCCUGUCCGAGCGUCAUUGCUGCCCUCAAGCACGGCUUGUGUGUUGGGCCCCGUCCUCCGAUCCCGGGGGACGGGCCCGAAAGGCAGCGGCGGCACCGCGUCCGGUCCUCGAGCGUAUGGGGCUUUGUCACCCGCUCUGUAGGCCCGGCCGGCGCUUGCCGAUCAACCCAAAUUUUUAUCCAGGUUGACCUCGGAUCAGGUAG